UACAGAGGGGGCAAGCGUUGUUCGGAAUUACUGGGCGUAAAGGGCGCGUAGGCGGCCUUCUAAGUCGAACGUGAAAUCCCCGGGCUCAACCCGGGAACUGCGUCCGAUACUGGAAGGCUUGAAUCCGGGAGAGGGAUGCGGAAUUCCAGGUGUAGCGGUGAAAUGCGUAGAUAUCUGGAGGAACACCGGUGGCGAAGGCGGCAUCCUGGAUCGGCAUUGACGCUGAGGCGCGAAAGCCAGGGGAGCAAACGGG
rnacentral:rRNA from 1 species